UACGAAGGGUGCAAGCGUUACUCGGAAUUACUGGGCGUAAAGCGUGCGUAGGUGGUGAGUUAAGUCUGUCGUGAAAGCCCCGGGCUCAACCUGGGAAUGGCGAUGGAUACUGGCUCGCUAGAGUGCGGUAGAGGAGAGUGGAAUUCCCGGUGUAGCAGUGAAAUGCGUAGAUAUGACAUAGAACACCGAUAGCGAAGGCAGCUUGCUACACGAGUAUUGACACUGAGGCACGAAAGCGUGGGGAUCAAACAGG
rnacentral:rRNA from 1 species